GACGAACGCUCGCGGCGUGCCUAAUACAUGCAAGUCGAACGCAGUGGGGACGGGUGAGUAACAAGUGGGUAACCUCCCAUCAGAGGGGAUAACACUUGGAAACAGGUGCUAAACCGAUACUGAUGGAUGGAACCGCGGUGCAUUAGCUAGUUGGUGAGGUACCGGCUCACCAAGGCCACGAUGCAGAGCCUACCUGAUAGGUUGCUCGGCCACACUGGGCUUGAGACACGGCCCAGACUCCUACGGUCGGCAGCAGUAGGGAAUCUUCGGCAAGGGACGAAAGUCUGACCGCGCAACGCCGCGUGAGUGAAGACGGUUUUCGGAUCGGAAAACUCUGUUGUUAGAGAAGCGGUAUCUAACCGGAGGGCCACGGCGAACUACGUGCCAGCAGGCGCGGUAAUAC
rnacentral:rRNA from 1 species